CCCGGGUUUGAGCGAUCCUCCCAUUUCAGUGUAACCACCAUUCUUAUCUCUAUCACCAUAGAUUAGCUCUGCAUGUCUUUGAACUUCAUAUAAAUGGAAUCAUGCAUAGAUAGGCUCUUUUGUGUCUGGAUUCUCUCUGUUAACACUGUGUCUGUGAGACUCACUCACGCUGUGUGUAGUAUUAUGCUUCAUCCUUUUUUGUUGUUGCAUAGUAUUCCACUGUAUAAAUAUACCACAAUUUAUUUGUCUGUUUUCCUAUUGCUGUGCAUUUGGAUUGUUUUGUUUUUCACUAUUUUGAAUAAAGCUGCUAUGAACAUCCUUGUGUAUGUCUUGGGUAUACAGAUGGUCCUGGCUUACAAUGAUUGGAUUUAAAAUUGUUUGACUUUAUGAUGGGCUUAUCAGGGUAUUAAAUGUGUUUCUGACUUACAGUAUUUUUGACUUACCACGUGUUUAUUGGGACGUAACCCCUUCCUAAGAUGAAGAGCAUCUGUAUACAUCCAGAAUCCUGUGGAGCAACUCAUAACCCAUGAGGAAUGGAAGCCGACAGACAGACUCAUCCCCAGGACAGGUGGUUCUCACUACAUCUCAUAAAGCUUCUUAGAAGAUCUUACAGGAUUGAGCAACCAGCCAGCCACAGCAGGGGCCAACUGGAUAACACGUCUUUGCAUAGGCUCUCCCUCUGUCCCUGUCACCCUCCCCUUUUCCUAACCUUGUUCCUUGGGAUUAUGUUUUGAAAUAAAUUAUUCAGAGAAAUGAAGCCAAAGCUGACCCAUUAGCCAAUAGCUAGGUUCUGUGAUGACAGAGCUUCUGGGCUAUAAUCGUUUACUGAGAAGCCAGCGUUCCUGAGGGGAUAAUGGCUCGUUCCAUUCAGCUGCAGCAUAGGAGUGAGGGCAGGGCAUUAGCAGAAGAUAACACCAGAAACGUGCUCUGGGGCCUGUUGAUGACUUUCUGUGCCAAGCACAGACAUUUAGCCUUUAUUCUGUAUGUGAUGGGAAGCCAGUGCCAGUGGUGGGUUUGAGCAGGGAACCAGCAACCAGUGGUGGGUUUGAGCAGGGAACCAGCAAUACUCAAGCUCUGCUUGGAUGGAGGCCAGUCAGGGAGGAGUUAGGGCAGGAGGACCAGUCAGGGAGGAGACUUAGGGCAGGAGGACCAGUCAGGGAGGAGACUUAGGGCAGGAGGACCGGUCAGGGAGGAGACUUAGGGCAGGAGUACUGGUCAGGGAGGAGACUUAGGGCAGGAGGACCGGUCAGGGAGGAGACUUAGGGCAGGAGGACCGGUCAGGGAGGAGACUUAGGGCAGGAGGACCGGUCAGGGAGGAGUUAGGGCUGGAGGACGGGUCAGGGAGGAGACUUAGGGCAGGAGGACCGGUCAGGGAGGAGUUAGGGCUGGAGGACCGGUCAGGGAGGAGUUAGGGCAGGAGGACUGGUCAGGGAGGAGACUUAGGGCAGGAGGACCGGUCAGGGAGGAGACUUAGGGCAGGAGGACCGGUCAGGGAGGAGACUUAGGGCAGGAGGACUGGUCAGGGAGGAGACUUAGGGCAGGAGGACAGGUCAGGGAGGAGUUAGGGGAGGAGGACCGGUCAGGGAGGAGUUAG
rnacentral:lncRNA from 10 species